rnacentral:lncRNA from 1 species
AUUUCAUCAUUCACACCAUUCAAUCAAAUUUCAUAGGUUUAACAUCAACAUUUUCAUCAUUCAUAGAAUUCAAUCAAAUUUCAUGGCUUUAACAAAAACACUUUCAUCAUACACACAAUGCAAUCAAAUUUCAUGGGUUUAACAUUCAACAUUUUCAUCAUUCACACCAUUCAAUCAAAUUUCACGGGUUUAUCAUCAACAUUUUCAUCAUUCACACAAUUCAAUCAAAUUCCAUGGGUUUAACAACAACAUUUUCAUCAUUCACACAAUUAAAUAAAAUUUCAUAGGUUUAACAACAACAUUUUCAUCAUUUACACAAUUCAAUCAAAUUUCAUGGGUUUAACAUCUUCCUUUUCAUCAUUCACACCAUUCAAUCAAAUCUCACGGGUUUAUCAUCAACAUUAUCAUCAUUCACACAAUUCAAUCAAAUUUUUUGGCAUUAACAACAACAUUUUCAUUAUUCACACAAUUCAAUCAAAUUUCAUAGGUUUAACAACAACAUUUUCAUCAUUUACACAAUUCAAUCAAAUUCCAUGGGUUUAACAAUAACAUUUCCAUCAUUCACACAUUUUAAUCAAAUUCCAUGGGUUUAACAAUAACAUUUUCAUAAUUCUCAUAAUUCAAUCAAAUUUCAUGGGUUUAACAACAGCAUUUUCAUCAUUCACACAAUUCAAUCAAAAAUUCAUGGGUUUAGUAUCUACCUUUUCAUCAUUCACACCAUUCAAUCAAAUUUCACGGGUUUAACAUCAACAUUUUCAUCAUUCACACAAUUCAAUCAAAUUUCAUGGCUUUAACAACAACAUUUUCAUCAUUCACACAAUUAUGAAUCAAAUUUCAUGGGUUUAAAAUCAACAUUUUCAUCAUUCACACAAUUCAAUCAAAUUUCAUAGGUUUAACAUCAACAUUUUCAUCAUUCACACAUUCAAUCCAAUUUCCUGGGAUUAACAACAGCAUUUUCAUCUUUCACACAAUUCAAUCAAAUUUCAUAGGUUUAACAUCUACCUUUUCAUCAUUCACACAAUUCAAUCAAAUUUCAUGGCUUUAACAACAACAUUUUCAUCAUUCACACAAUGCAAUCAAAUUUCAUAGGGUUAACAU